rnacentral:rRNA from 1 species
AACGCGAAGAACCUUACCUGGGCUCGAACGGCUGGUCAACGCCGGUGGAAACAUCGGUACCCCGCAAGGGGGUCCAGUCGAGGUGCUGCAUGGCUGUCGUCAGCUCGUGUCGUGAGAUGUUGGGUUAAGUCCCGCAACGAGCGCAACCCUUGUCCUGUGUUGCCAUACCGAAAGGUGGAACUCGCAGGAGACCGCCAGCGAUAAGCUGGAGGAAGGUGGGGAUGACGUCAAGUCCUCAUGGCCUUUAUGUCCAGGGCUACACACGUGCUACAAUGGACGGUACAAAGCGUCGCUAACCUGCGAAGGGGAGCCAAUCGCAAAAAACCGUUCUCAGUUCGGAUUGCAGGCUGCAACCCGCCUGCAUGAAGCUGGAAUCGCUAGUAAUGGCAGAUCAGCACGCUGCCGUGAAUACGUUCCCGGGCCUUGUACACACCGGCUAC